AACGAACGCUGGCGGCAUGCCUAACACAUGCAAGUCGAACGAGACCUUCGGGUCUAGUGGCUCAUGGGUGCGUAACGCGUGGGAACCUUCCGUUAGGCUUGGAAUACUUCAGAGAAAUUUGAGCUAAUAUCGGAUGAUGUCUUCUGACAAAAGAUUUAACGUCUUUGGAUGGGCCCGCGUUGGAUUAGCCAGUCGGUGGGGUAAAGGCCUACCAAGGCGACGAUCCAUAGCUGGUUUGAGAGGAUGGUCAGCCACACUGGGACUGAGACACGGCCCAGACUCCUGCGGGAGGCAGCAGUGGGGGAUAUUGGACAAUGGGCGAAAGGCUGAUCCAGCAAGGCCGCGUGAGUGAUGAAGGCCUUAGGGUUGUAAAGCUCUUUUACCCGAGAUGAUAAUGACGGUAUCGGGAGAAUAAGCACCGGCUAACUCCGUG
rnacentral:rRNA from 1 species